rnacentral:sRNA from 1 species
UACAGUAGAUAUUUCCGAUGCACUCAGC